rnacentral:sRNA from 1 species
CUCGAGUGAGGAGCAUCCAAAAUUUAAGUUUUUAUUUCCGGAAAACAAAAAUUCAGUAAUUCAGUGUACAAAAAAAAAAAUUGUUUCCUAGUUUAAAAUUUGUUUGUUACUUUUUGGACACACGAACUCAAAGAAUGACUCUUGGGAAGGGAAGGCGGCUCUUCAAAUAAAGAAAGGCGAUCGUGAUGGUACCGGGAUAUCCAAACAAAUACUCCCCCAGUUCGGAUUACCAGUGGCUUGCAUCAAUAUUAAUAAUCACUAUAUUAAGCACUAUAUUAAGCACAGAGAAAGGGAAGGAACGAAAUGGAAGGAUGGUGACCCUUCAGACGAGGGAAGGACAUCGUGAUGGUACCUGGAAUAUCCGAUCAGUUAUUCCCUCAGUUCGGAUAUACAGUGGCUCGCAUCAAUAUUAAUAAUCACUAUAUUAAGCACUAUAUUAAGCACAGAGAAAGAGAAGGAAGGAAAUGGAAGGAUGGUGACCCUUCAGACGAGGGAAGGACAUCGUGAUGGUGCCUGGAAUAUCCGAUCAGUUAUUCCCCCAGUUCGGAUUCCCAGUGGCUUGCAUCAAUACCAAAUAAACAUUAUGCAACGAGAUCAAGACCGAAUAAAUCACUAUAUUAAGCACUAUAUUAAGCACAGAGAAAGGGAAGGAAGGAAAUGGAAGGAUGGUGAUCCUUCAGACGAGGGAACGACAUCGUGAUGGUACCUGGAAUAUCCGAUCAGUUAUUCCCUCAGUUCGGAUAUACAGUGGCUUCCAUCAAUACCAAAUAAACAUUAUGCAACGAGAUCAAGACCGAAUAAAUCACUAUAUUAAGCACUAUAUUAAGCACAGAGAAAGGGAAGGAAGGAAAUGGAAGGAUGGUGAUCCUUCAGACGAGGGAAGGACAUCGUGAUGGUACCUGGAAUAUCCGAUCAGUUAUUCCCUCAGUUCGGAUAUACAGUGGCUCGCAUCAAUACCAAAUAAACAUUAUGCAACGAGAUCAAGACCGAAUAAAUCACUAUAUUAAGCACAGAGAAAGGGAAGGAAGGAAAUGGAAGGAUGGUGACCCUUCAGACGAAGGAAGGACAUCGUGAUGGUACCUGGAAUAUCCGAUCAGUUAUUCCCUCAGUUCGGAUAUACAGUGGCUUCCAUCAAUACCAAAUAAACAUUAUGCAACGAGAUCAAGACCGAAUAAAUCACUAUAUUAAGCACUAUAUUAAGCACAGAGAAAGGGAAGGAAGGAAAUGGAAGGAUGGUGAUCCUUCUGACGAGAGAAGGACAUCGUGAUGGUACCUGGAAUAUCCGAUCAGUUAUUCCCUCAGUUCGGAUAUACAGUGGCUCGCAUCAAUACCAAAUAAACAUUAUGCAACGAGAUCAAGAACGAAUAAAUCACUAUAUUAAGCACUAUAUUAAGCACAGAGAAAGGGAAGGAAGGAAAUGGAAGGAUGGUGAUCCUUCAGACGAGGGAAGGACAUCGUGAUGGUACCUGGAAUAUCCGAUCAGUUAUUCCCUCAGUUCGGAUAUACAGUGGCUUCCAUCAAUACCAAAUAAACAUUAUGCAACGAGAUCAAGACCGAAUAAAUCACUAUAUUAAGCACUAUAUUAAGCACAGAGAAAGGGAAGGAAGGAAAUGGAAGGAUGGUGAUCCUUCAGACGAAGGAAGGACAUCGUGAUGGUACCUGGAAUAUCCGAUCAGUUAUUCCCUCAGUUCGCAUAUACAGUGGCUUCCAUCAAUACCAAAUAAACAUUAUGCAACGAGAUCAAGACCGAAUAAAUCACUAUAUUAAGCACUAUAUUAAGCACAGAGAAAGGGAAGGAAGGAAAUGGAAGGAUGGUGAUCCUUCAGACGAAGGAAGGACAUCGUGAUGGUACCUGGAAUAUCCGAUCAGUUAUUCCCUCAGUUCGGAUAUACAGUGGCUCGCAUCAAUACCAAAUAAACAUUAUGCAACGAGAUCAAGACCGAAUAAAUCACUAUAUUAAGCACUAUAUUAAGCACUAUAUUAAGCACUAUAUUAAGCACUAUAUUAAGCACAGAGAAAGGGAAGGAAGGAAAUGGAAGGAUGGUGAUCCUUCAGACGAGGGAAGGACAUCGUGAUGGUACCUGGAAUAUCCGAUCAGUUAUUCCCUCAGUUCGGAUAUACAGUGGCUCGCAUCAAUACCAAAUAAACAUUAUGCAACGAAAUCAAGACCGAAUAAAUCACUAUAUUAAGCACUAUAUUAAGCACUAUAUUAAGCACUAUAUUAAGCACAGAGAAAGGGAAGGAAGGAAAUGGAAGGAUGGUGAUCCUUCAGACGAAGGAAGGACAUCGUGAUGGUACCUGGAAUAUCCGAUCAGUUAUUCCCUCAGUUCGCAUAUACAGUGGCUUCCAUCAAUACCAAAUAAACAUUAUGCAACGAGAUCAAGACCGAAUAAAUCACUAUAUUAAGCACUAUAUUAAGCACAGAGAAAGGGAAGGAAGGAAAUGGAAGGAUGGUGAUCCUUCAGACGAAGGAAGGACAUCGUGAUGGUACCUGGAAUAUCCGAUCAGUUAUUCCCUCAGUUCGGAUAUACAGUGGCUUCCAUCAAUACCAAAUAAACAUUAUGCAACGAGAUCAAGACCGAAUAAAUCACUAUAUUAAGCACUAUAUUAAGCACAGAGAAAGGGAAGGAAGGAAAUGGAAGGAUGGUGAUCCUUCAGACGAAGGAAGGACAUCGUGAUGGUACCUGGAAUAUCCGAUCAGUUAUUCCCUCAGUUCGGAUAUACAGUGGCUUCCAUCAAUACCAAAUAAACAUUAUGCAACGAGAUCAAGACCGAAUAAAUCACUAUAUUAAGCACUAUAUUAAGCACAGAGAAAGGGAAGGAAGGAAAUGGAAGGAUGGUGAUCCUUCAGACGAAGGAAGGACAUCGUGAUGGUACCUGGAAUAUCCGAUCAGUUAUUCCCUCAGUUCGGAUAUACAGUGGCUCGCAUCAAUACCAAAUAAACAUUAUGCAACGAGAUCAAGACCGAAUAAAUCACUAUAUUAAGCACUAUAUUAAGCACAGAGAAAGGGAAGGAAGGAAAUGGAAGGAUGGUGAUCCUUCAGACGAAGGAAGGACAUCGUGAUGGUACCUGGAAUAUCCGAUCAGUUAUUCCCUCAGUUCGGAUAUACAGUGGCUCGCAUCAAUAUUAAUAAUCACUAUAUUAAGCACUAUAUUAAGCACAGAGAAAGGGAAGGAAGGAAAUGGAAGGAUGGUGAUCCUUCAGACGAAGGAAGGACAACGUGAUGGUACCUGGAAUAUCCGAUCAGUUAUUCCCUCAGUUCGGAUAUACAGUGGGUCGCAUCAAUACCAAAUAAACAUUAUGCAACGA